UACGGGGGGGGCAAGCGUUGUUCGGAAUUACUGGGCGUAAAGUGCUCGUAGGCGGCUCGUUAAGUCAGACGUGAAAGCCCUCGGCUUAACCGGGGAACGGCGUCUGAGACUGAGGAGCUUGAAUCCGGGAGAGGGAUGCGGAAUUCCAGGUGUAGCGGUGAAAUGCGUAGAUAUCUGGAGGAACACCGGUGGCGAAGGCGGCAUCCUGGACCGGUAUUGACGCUGAGGAGCGAAAGCCAGGGGAGCAAACGGG
rnacentral:rRNA from 1 species